rnacentral:rRNA from 1 species
AUUGAACGCUGGCGGCAGGCCUAACACAUGCAAGUCGAACGAGUGGCGGACGGGUGAGUAAUGUCUGGGAAACUGCCUGAUGGAGGGGGAUAACUCCUGGAAACGUUAGCUAAUACCGCAUACCAUCGGAUUGGCCCUGAUGGGAUUAGCUAGUAGGUGGGGUAAAGGCGCACCUAGGCGACGAUCCCUAGCUGGUCUGAGAGGAUGACCAGCAACCUGGGAACUGAGACACGGUCCAGACUCCUACGGGAGGCAGCAGUGGGGAAUAGUGCACAAUGGGCGAAAGCCUGAUGCAGCCAGGCCGCGGGUAUGAAGAAGGCCUGCGGGUUGUAAAGUACUGUCAGCGGGGAGGGGUUACCCGCAGAAGAAGCACCGGCUAACUCCGUGCCAGCCGCCGCGGUAAUUC